UACAGAGGUCUCAAGCGUUGUUCGGAUUCAUUGGGCGUAAAGGGUGCGUAGGCGGCGCGGUAAGUCGGGUGUGAAAUCUCGGGGCUUAACUCCGAAACUGCAUUCGAUACUACCGUGCUUGAGGACUGGAGAGGAGACUGGAAUUUACGGUGUAGCGGUGAAAUGCGUAGAUAUCGUAAGGAAGACCAGUGGCGAAGGCGGGUCUCUGGACAGUUCCUGACGCUGAGGAGCGAAAGCGUGGGGAGCGAACAGG
rnacentral:rRNA from 1 species